rnacentral:rRNA from 1 species
CCUACGGGUGGCAGCAGUGAGGAAUAUUGGUCAAUGGCCGAGAGGCUGAACCAGCCAAGUCGCGUGAGGGAAGAAUGUCCUAUGGAUUGUAAACCUCUUUUGUCAGGGAGCAAAGUCACCCGCGUGUGGGGGUUGGAGAGUACCUGAAGAAAAAGCAUCGGCUAACUACGUGCCAGCAGCCGCGGUAAUACGGAGGAUGCGAGCGUUAUCCGGAUUUAGUGGGUUUAAUGGGUGCGUAGGCGGGUGAUCAAGUCAGCGGUAAAAUUGUGGAGCUCAACUCCAUCCAGCCGUUGAAACUGAUGAUCUUGAGUGGGCGAGAAGUAUGCGGAAUGCGUGGUGUAGCGGUGAAAUGCAUAGAUAUCACGCAGAACUCCGAUUGCGAAGGCAGCAUACCGGCGCCCGACUGACGCUGAAGCACGAAAGCGUGGGUAUCGAACAGGAUUAGAUACCCGAGUAGUC